rnacentral:tRNA from 1 species
GGGGAUAUAGCUCAGUUGGUAGAGUGCUUGCCUGGCAUGCAGAAGGCCAGGGGUUCAAUCCUUAGCACCA